rnacentral:lncRNA from 1 species
GGCGGGAUCCAGUGACCAGGUCGUUACUCUGAGCUCCCAUGACAAUCGAUCUUCGAUCGAGCUCCAACAAUAAGCAACCUCCUUUCGGCCUCCCACAAGAACCUAACUCCGUCUGAGCCUCCACAGUGGAUGAAUUUUGGAUGAGCUUUCACAAUGGGUGGACUCCGACAGCUAGAUUCUUACAACGAUCGAUUGCCUCCGACGUCUGCCGAACCUCCCCAGCACCAUCUGAAGUCCAUCACCGGCCGACCCCUCGCC